UACGUAGGGUGCAAGCGUUAAUCGGAAUUACUGGGCGUAAAGCGUGCGCAGGCGGUUGUGCAAGACCGAUGUGAAAUCCCCGGGCUUAACCUGGGAAUGGCAUUGGUGACUGCACGGCUAGAGUGUGUCAGAGGGGGGGUAGAAUUCCACGUGUAGCAGUGAAAUGCGUAGAGAUGUGGAGGAAUACCGAUGGCGAAGGCGGCAUCCUGGACCGGUAUUGACGCUGAUGCGCGAAAGCCAGGGGAGCAAACGGG
rnacentral:rRNA from 1 species